UAAUACUUGCGUGGUAGUUUUAUAAACGAAUUAGCUGUAAAUAUAAUCAAAAUUUUUGAGGAUCUCCUCACAACCUUGGCAACACUUUUUUUUCUUUUUUUUUUCACUUUAACUAUUGAUUUUUGCUAAUCGUAAUUGAUCACUGAGGCCAGAAUGAAAGUCGCCACUAACUCACUAAAUUAUCCACAUGUUGUUCAGUUUAGUGCCACUUGCCAAAACGUGAUUAUCACACUAUCUUGUAUGCAUAAAUACAGG
rnacentral:misc_RNA from 1 species